rnacentral:rRNA from 1 species
CAGUAGCCGCGGUAAUACGUAGGUGGCAAGCGUUGUCCGGAAUUAUUGGGCGUAAAGGGCUCGCAGGCGGUUUCUUAAGUCUGAUGUGAAAGCCCCCGGCUCAACCGGGGAGGGUCAUUGGAAACUGGGAAACUUGAGUGCAGAAGAGGAGAGUGGAAUUCCACGUGUAGCGGUGAAAUGCGUAGAGAUGUGGAGGGACACCAGUGGCGAAGGCGACUCUCUGGUCUGUAACUGACGCUGAGGAGCGAAAGCGUGGGGAGCGAACAGGAUUAGAUACCCCCGUAGUCCCUGUCUCUUAUAC